GGCUUGGUAGCCCAGUUGGUAAAGCAUGAGACUCUUAAUCUCAGGGUUUUGGGUUCGGGAGCCAACUUUGGGCA